AUGUGUGUUCUACUUACUCUAGACUUGUCACUUGAAUGUUUCAGGAACCCCGAGAUCCGUCCUAUUGGAGGUUGUGAAGAUGUGACUAGGGCCAAUGAUGGCGAUCACUUGCCGGACCUAAAUAUCAGGGAGAAAGGAAGCGCUCAUACUCUUGGCAUCAGGGAUAUAAUGGUUGGCAUUGCUGGGGUCCCUAGUGGCAUCAGUGAGUUUGUCAAUGUUUUUCAGUGGGCUAGAUCUGCUAUUUCGUCUGAAUGGGGAGACACUCAAGAGGAAAGGUUUCAAGAUGACAUAUGUCAGUUGCAGAGUGGCUUGGAAUUUCUGAGAGAUACUCUUCCAGCAAUGCAUGACCUCAUUGAUCGAGCAGAGUGGAGAAGCCACAAGGAUUGUGUUGCCAACCUCCUUCCAUACCUCAAGGAUGCAGUCUAUGAUGCUGAAGACCUUCUUGAUGAUCUUAAAUGGUACAACCAUAAGGUGAUAGUGGAAGGCAAUGAAAGCAAACUAUCUGUUACUGAAUUCUUUCGCAACUUCAACGAAGUGAAUGAUAUCCAUAAAAGGUUGGUUAAUAUUUCCGAAUACCUAGAGAAAAUGGGGUUGGGUGAAGUGACACCACGGUUUGACAAAACAGUCAGGCCAGAGACUACCUCAUUCUGCAAUGAAACAAAAAUAUUUGGUCGUGAUGUGCUGCUAAAGAAGAUGAUGAGAUUGCUCAAUGUGCCUACAAAUAGUAGCGCUGGUUCAAAACGCAAGUGGAAACCUAGUGCAGAUGGUACAUCAACAAGCAACCAAGUUAGUAAUGAAUCAAGAUUACCUGAUCUUCCAGUUUUACCAUUAGUUGGAAUUGGGGGUAUUGGAAAGACCACUUUGGCCCAGCAUAUUUGUAGUCAUCCAAUAGUGAAGUCUCACUUCAAAACAAUAAUUUGGAUUUGCGUUUCAGAUGAUUUUGAUGUGAAGAGGUUAACUAAAGAGGCUAUAGGAUCCUGUCCAGGUAAAAAGGCAACAACUGACAAUCUAAAUUCUCUUCAGCAUGUUCUUUCUGGCAUACUGAGCAAUGAAAGGUUCUUGAUUGUCCUCGAUGAUAUGUGGGAUGAUGCUCUGAAGGAGCAUGGCCUGCGCUGGAAGACCUUCUGUGCACCAUUCAAAAAUGUGCUACAAGGAAGUAUGAUGUUGGUCACCACUAGAUCACAAAAGGUAGCUGAGUUAGUGCACACUAUGGAACCAAUUACAUUGGAAGAAUUAAAGGGUGACGUCUUUUGGGAUUUCUUCAAACUAUGUGUGUUUGGGUCUGGUAGUUUUGAUGAUCAUCCAGAGUUAGAGCCCAUUGGUAAAGACAUACUCCCUAAGUUGAAGGGCUCUCCUUUAGCCGCUAAAACUCUUGGACGCAUGUUACAGAGUGACCUUCAUAUAUCACACUGGAAUAGUAUACUACACAGUGAAUUGUGGGCGUUGGACCAAGAGGCAACUGAUAUUGUGCCAGCUCUUCGGUUGAGCUACAUGUAUUUACCGUUCCACUUGAAGAGAUGCUUCUCCUUUUGUGCUGUGUACCCCAAAGAUAAGGAGUUUGAAAAGGACAUCUUAGCUGAAAUUUGGGCGGCAGAAGGCUUUGUGAAAUGCCAGGGUGUUAUUCCAGUUCAAGAUAUUGGAUGUCAAUACUUCAAUGCCCUUCUAAAUCUGUCAUUCUUUCAAAAAGUUCAAGGUAAAUACGUAAUCCAUGACUUGUUGCAUGAUAUGGCACAGAAAGUUUCAGAGGACGAUUGUUUCAUUGUGAAGAAGAAGGGUGACUUUAUAAGAAUUCCUCCAAAUGUCCGCCAUCUGUCAGUCCUAUCUAGCAAUGACAUCGACAAUUCUGACUUGUCGAUCCUAUGCCGGCACAAAAAGCUGCGUACCCUUCUUUGCAACAAGCCUUUAGCAAAUAAAAAAAUUCCAGCUCGUUUGUUGGAAGAUUGGUGCACUGAACUUCUGCGUAUGCGUGUUAUUGUUUUUGCGUCUUUGAAUGAGUUACCAGCUAGCAUUGGCAAAUUGAAGCAUCUUCAGUACCUUAAGAUAUCGAGAGCUUGUUCGGUGACAAGUCUUCCCGGAACGAUCUGUAUGCUCCAUAAUUUACAGGUUUUAUGUGUCAAGAAAUGCAAGCUUGAAAGCUUGCCUAGUGGCUUCAGUAUGUUGGUCAACCUAUGGAGAUUUGAAUCGCAGGGAUUUAAAUAUGGUCCAAAUAUUAGAGGAUUCAAUACGGAAGAAUUUUAUUAUGGACUAAAUCUUGAUGCAGCCAGUGAUGAGCAGGGACUAGGAUGUAGGUUCAUAAAGAAUAUGAAGCAACUUCGUGGACACUUGGAGAUAAGUAAUGUUGGCAUGCUAAGGAAGGAUCAUUCAGCAGAAGCCGAACUGAAAAAUAAGGGAUAUCUUGACAAGCUGACGCUGCAAUCGAGUGCCUGCGCGAGUCAAUCUGGGGACAAUGAAAACGGGAUAGAAGUCCUUCGACAUCUACAACCUCCUGCUGGUGUCAAGUCUCUAGUCCUUGGAGGUUACCUAGGUGUUUCUCUUCCGAGCUGGUUUCAGCCACAAAGCCUGUCAGGCUUAACAUCUGCGUCAUUUUCUUGGUGUCAUGAACUCGAGAUACCUACAGUGCCAAUCGACAUCAACAGUAGCAGCAUGGGUUUCUCGUCCCUGACAGAUCUAAUCCUUCAGUGGUGCGGCAGUUUAUCAAGUCUCGAACAGCUUCUAGAUCCGGCUUAUCUACCAGUCAUCAAGAAAAUUAUAAUAAAAAAUUGCGAGAACCUAAUAUCAGUACCCACCGAAAGAUUCGGAGAAUUUCGUUGCAUUGAAAUAUUCGAGGUGGAGGGAUGUGGAAAAAUAAACUCCCAGAGUUUGGCUGCGCGUUCUCUCAAGAAGCUCAAGCUAGGUGGCAGCAAGGAUAUGUACUGGCCAAAUAAUUGCGGGAAUCUCACUGCAGCCAAUAUCCAAUGCUGCUCUCUCACCUACUUUUCCUUGUCAUGCCGGCGUCUCACAUCCAUCCAACUACAAAUGUGGAAUCUUCCAGCUCUACGGGAACUGCACAUUUCGCAUUGUCAAUCUCUCACAUAUUUUGGACAACCUGGACAGAUCUUCACCAACCUCACUUCCCUAACCAUCAGCGAAUGCUCUCAACUGUCAACCAUUGAUGGUCUCCUAGAAGAAGAAUAUCUACCUGCCAUUAAGAGUAUUACAAUUGACGACUGUGAGAAGUUGUCGACCAUUGAGAGUAGAAGGAUUGGGGAUUUUUCUUCUCUGAAGGAUUUGAAAGUUUCUCGGUGCCCUAGUAUCGAUUGGGGGGGAUUUGUGUUACCAGCGUCCCUCCAAAGUCUCCACUUACAAGCAUGUGGGGAUAUCUCUUCAUUUAUCCCCAGCGGCCUAGAAAACCUCCACUCCCUUGUUUCACUAAGAUUACUGGAGUGUUGGUAUAGGAUAUCCAUUCCAGGCCGCCUUUGGAGCACUACUCUCUCAUCACUUGAGGAAUUAGAACUUCGGGUUUGUACAGAGCUUGUGUCCGUUGGUGGAGCAGAUGACAUUUCAGAAAUACCAAAUGUGUGGAUUCAGGCCUGUAGAAAAUUGAAGGGGAUAAAGCUGCCUGUGAGAAGAGGUAGCUUCUUGAUAUCCAAGAAGUGA
rnacentral:rRNA from 1 species